GAGCGGCGGCCAUUUUCCCCUGGUCUGAGCUCCGCCUUCCUUCUAUCAUUCCCACAAGGCAGCAGGAGCAGAGAGCAGCCAUUGCUGUGUCUGGCAGCAGUAUUAAACAGUUGUGAAGAAGACAUCCUGUGAGCGUGAGACACCCAGCAGCCAUCCUCUUGUGUCAGGAGGACUGAGAAGGACCCAGAGCCCAAUCACGGUGCCUCCACCUCACUCACUGACACAUGAGAGACACAGUGACGAGAAGAUCAUUGAACUCACCAACAAGAUCAUUCAGCUGCUGACUGAAGAGGUUCCUAUAAGGUGUCAUGAUGUCACUGUCUAUGUCUCCAUGCAGGAGGAGGAGUAUAUAGAGGAACACAGGGGUCUAUACAAGGACGUGAUGAUGGAGAAUCACCGGCCCCUCGCAUCACUGGGUAAGAGGAGAC